CGGUGUUUAACUGGCGUGAUGUGGGACGUCCUACCGGUGGGCUUAGCCUCGCGAGGGGCGGCCCAACUAAUAUCCCGUCGCGGUGCUCUUUACUGAGUGUCGAGUCGGGCCGGUACGUUUACUUUGAACAAAUUAGAGUGCUUAAAGCAGGCUAUCCUCGCCUGAAUACUGCGUGCAUGGAAUAAUGGAAUAGGACCUCGGUUCUAUUUUGUUGGUUUUCGGAACCCCGAGGUAAUGAUUAAUAGGGACAGAUGGGGGCAUUCGUAUUGCGACGUUAGAGGUGAAAUUCUUGGAUCGUCGCAAGACGGACAGAAGCGAAAGCAUUUGCCAAAAAUGUUUUCAUUAAUCAAGAACGAAAGUUAGAGGUUCGAAGGCGAUCAGAUACCGCCCUAGUUCUAACCAUAAACGAUGCCAGCUAGCGAUCCGCCGAAGUUCCUCCGAUGACUCGGCGGGCAGCUUCCGGGAAACCAAAGCUUUUGGGUUCCGGGGGAAGUAUGGUUGCAAAGCUGAAACUUAAAGGAAUUGACGGAAGGGCACCACCAGGAGUGGAGCCUGCGGCUUAAUUUGACUCAACACGGGAAACCUCACCAGGCCCAGACACCGGAAGGAUUGACAGAUUGAUAGCUCUUUCUUGAUUCGGUGGGUGGUGGUGCAUGGGCCGUUUUUAGUUGGUGGAGCGAUUUGUCUGGUUAAUUCCGAUAACGAACGAGACUCUAGCCUGCUAAAUAGGCGUACCUUAUGGUAUCGCGAAGGCCCCCGGCUUCGGCCGGUGGGUUUUUACUACCAACGUACAAACAAAUCUUCUUAGAGGGACAGGCGG
rnacentral:rRNA from 1 species